AUAAUCAUUAAUAUAAAUUUAUUUAUUGUAAAUGGAUAGUCUACGUUAUUGUUUAUGUUACAUUUAGACAGGCAAAUUAUAUCUCAAGAGACUGUAUGUUGAAUCGUUUAUCUCAUCAUAUAGACAUCACCAUCAUAAUCAUCACCAUCACCAGCAACUUCAUCAACACCAUCACCAACUCCUUUACCUUUUGAUCAUCACCUUCAUCAUUAUCCUCAUCAUUAUUAUUACCACCAAUCCCAUUAGUUUUCUUAUGUGUUAUUAUAAUUCAGAUUUACAAGACUAGAUUUCGUGUGCUUCCAAUGCAAAACAUUGAUCAGAGAACGAGUUUUUCACCUGUUAAUCAUGUGUUAAUCACAGGGAAAAAAGCAACCUGGAAUCCAAUCACUCAUCAAUAAUGUUAUUAAUUAGUUCAUCCCACAAUAUUUGCAAAUAUUUACAUUUAUUGUGAAAUGUACACAAUAUUACAUGAAAUUGUCUGGUAGUUCAUUGGCAAGACUCAACCUUUCGUGUUAAUGUUGAUGGUUACCAAUACGAGAUCGAGUUGACACUACAAUUAAGAUUGAUUGUACAAAGUGUUCAACCAGAAAACACUUAAGUUAAUCAAGCCUAACUAUUGAUCGCUCCUUUCUUAUAUCAGCUAAGAAACAAUUAGAUGAUAAAUUUCUAAUCCAUCUAUUCUAAGGUGGGACAAUUAUUUAUUCAUACCAUUAAUCAAUCGGAUUCCAAAUGAAGACAAUUAUUCAUAAAGCCAAUUCCUCAUUCAAGUCAUGAUAAAGGCAACCAAGCAACAUCAACAACUCAUCAAGAGACGAUUCAUCCAAUUGUUUCUACAAUUGAAUUUCUAUUUUCCUCAUUGCGGAAUAACAUUAUUAUUAAGAUUAAUUUAGUUUCACUGAAUAACUAAUUCUAUUAAUAUCAAUCCCAAUCCCAAGAUUCAUUGAAUAAACUGAUGAAAAAAAGGACAAAAUGUUGUCAUUUUUUUGCUCAUCAUUUUAUACAAUGACAAAUGAUAUUAAAUAAUUGAAAGCAACCUUUUUUGGGUUUCAAUAUUUUGAAUUGAAAACCCAAAUAUAAGGCAAUCAGUUAAAUUUAUCAAAUAAUCAUAACUAUAACCAUCUAACAAUAUCAUUUAAUGGUAAAUUACAUUUGACUCGAUUACUAGCAACUAAUAUUGUUGCUGUUAUAUUUACUUGAAUACACUUUCUGGUUUUCAGUUAAUAUAAAUUUUUAUUAUCUCAACUUAAUGAGCAUCAGAAUCAUCUUUCAUCAACAAUUGUAACCAUCUGAUCAAUGAUAAAGAGUUGACAUGGAUGGUAAAUUUUCUGGUUCGCCAUGUUGACUAUUGUUCAACUGAUAAUGAUGACCAUGAGGAUGAUUAUGAUGUCCAAGAUGAUGAUGAUAAUGGGUGAAACAAUAAUGAAAAUUAAAUGAUGAUCAACAUUUUAUUACAAUCUAACCAAUCCAUCAUUUUUCGUUUAUUAUCAUCAGAUUCAAUAUUUUGGAUUUCAGACUCAAUUUAAUGAUGGCAACAGUUUUUAAUGGCAUCAACAAUUGAAAUUGAAUUAUCAAUCGCAGCCAACAUGAUCAAAGACAAAAUGGAUUAAAGUAAGGAUCUAACCAGAUGAGCAACCAACUGACCAAAACAUUAACCGAUACAAUCAUGACACAACAUAGCCAUAAAUAAUACCUAAACUAAAGGUUGGAUAUCAGAUGAAGGGACCAACAAUUGGACACAUUUUCAAGUUGAAAGGAUGAAAACUAUUGAAGCUUUGUCAGAUUCAAAAUGGAUUUGGAUUUUUACAAACUAAUCUCACAAUUAUCAACCCAAAAUGGUAACUACAAGUGAACCUAAUUGUUAAAACUGGUAAAUAUUUAACCUGGGCAACACCAUUUAUUUAGAGGAUGAAAUGAACGUUGAAAAUGUUGAUGUUCAUAAAAUUAUCGCUUUUGAAUGUUCAUUUCUGGUUGAAAAAAGAUGAAUCUCUUUUGGGUUUUCACCAAUCAUUUCUUCUCACACAGAUUCAUCAUCUAGAAUUUUCAUGUUCAUCUUUGAACUUUUUUCCUCUUAUUAUUUUAUUGUUUGAUACAACUGUUUACCCAACAAAAUCUGUUGUUGCCAUGUUUAAGUCAAUACAUAGGAACAAAAUGAAACCUAAAAGUAGUCGAGUUUACAGAGCAAAGUUUAUUCAAAGAUUGGUAUUUUUUUUAUUGAUUUAAUAAAAUAUCCAUCUUGUUUACCCUUUAAUAUUAUUGUCUACAGUCCUGUGAGCUUUUAAUGUAAUCAAAGUAUAAAUUCACGUAUUCAAUAUCAUACAAAUA